rnacentral:rRNA from 1 species
CCAAAGGGGGNGAUGCAUUAGUACGGCGAGUGAAGCGGCAAAAGCUCAAAUUUGAAAUCUGGCACCUUCGGUGUCCGAGUUGUAAUUUGAAGAAGGUAACUUUGGAGUUGGCUCUUGUCUAUGUUCCUUGGAACAGGACGUCACAGAGGGUGAGAAUCCCGUGCGAUGAGAUGCCCAAUUCUAUGUAAAGUGCUUUCGAAGAGUCGAGUUGUUUGGGAAUGCAGCUCUGAGUGGGUGGUAAAUUCCAUCUAAAGCUAAAUAUUGGCGAGAGACCGAUAGCGAACAAGUACCGUUAUGGAAAGAAGAAAAAAAAUUUGAAAAGAAUAUGGAAAAAUAUGUUGAAAUUGUGAAAAGGAAGGGCCUUAGAACAGAAUUGGUAUUUUGCGGACCUUUCCUUCUUGGGUGGGGUUCUCCCCAGUUUAUGGGGCAGUUUCCGGUUGGGAGCGGCGAUAAUGUCUAAAGGAAGUGUGGUCUUUAUUUGGGUGGUGUGAUAUCCCUGGGUUAGAAAAUCUCUCUGAAGACAUGAGCGUGUCUCUUUUGUAGGGAAUGGUGUCUCAAUGGUUUUCCUCCCCCGUCAAAAGAAGACAAAAAAAAANC